UGCUUGUAGAGCAGAUUUAUUUUUAAAUGCCCAGUACGUAAACAUGCCUUGCAUUAUAUACAUCAUAAGCCUAACAAUCGUUGCUGUUCUUCAAUAUUAUGAUCCACUUGCAUUUAUGUGGAUUCUUUUGGGUCUUUAACAUCUCAGUAUGCUAAAAUAAAAUCCAUGUAUUUCUCCCUUGUAAAAAACUUAAAUAUUUUACAAAUUUUUUCUCUCUAUAAGCCACUUUUCUAACUUAAAGAUGUGACUCAGUUAAUUAAAUCCUCACUCUUUUGCUCA